GAUAACUCAAGGCAUAAGGCGAUCCAGCACCUAAGAUCUCAGCAAAAAAAAGCUAGGUCCUGAGGCAGCUAGUGGAAAAACAAGAGAAGGGAAGUCAAAAGGCUACUUGCUGUCAGCUAAAGCCAGACAACCUCUCCUGUUUCAUCUCCUGGCAACAGAAUGCAUCCUCCUUUUGGGAAACUGCCUCUUUCCCCACUCCUCAGAGAAGCAGAAGGAUCCAAGUCAAAGGAGUUUAUUUGGGAGGAAAUAGCACGAGAGAAUGAUCAUUCGUAACUGAGGCACACUUGCCUUUUGCAACUAAGCUCUACUGAAUUCCAAAGCUAUAGAAAUAUCCAUCUUGACCUGGAAAGUCUGUUUCUUUGCUAGUCCAGAAGGUUUUUUUUAACAUGAACAAGAUCCUCUCAAGCACUGUUUGCUUUGGACUCCUAACUUUGUUAUCCGUGUUGAGUUUUUUACAAUCUGUGCAUGGACGACCAUAUCUUACCCAAGGAAAUGAAAUAUUUCCAGAUAAAAAAUAUACAAAUCGUGAGGAACUAUUGCUGGCUCUACUGAAUAAAAAUUUUGAUUUCCAAAGACCUUUCAACACUGGAAACAGUUGGAGUACAGAUGAUGAAUGAAAAAUUUAGGCUACACCAAUUGAAAUUAUUUUUAUUUGAAGAACAAGAGAAUCUGACUUACAAAUAUCCAUGAGAUUGUCCUCCAAGAAAUGACUGAGAUUUUGUCAGAAAUUUAACAAGUCUAGCUUAAGAGAAAAUGUGACAAUAUGAUACCGUGCUACUCUCCCAUACAACAUCUGAAGUAAUCUAAACAUGUCUGUAUUCAUAGAACAAAAUGCUGGUUAAAAGAAUAACUUAAUAAAUACUUUUAAAAUUCAGGGUUUUU
rnacentral:lncRNA from 1 species